CCAGGCCACCAGCCACACGCUCGCGAAUAGGCGGGCUUUAAAGGGCGUCUCCGCAAAAACGCCACCCCUCACCUCACGGAUCGAAACGGGAAGGCUCUGUUCCCCUCUCUCGCGGCGGCGGCGCACCCCCACCUUCUCCAUCUCCGGCAAGGCAUUUGGCAUCUGACUUCAACAGCAAGCAAAUGGCAGGUGGCAGGGUUGCACAUGCCACCCUCAAGGGCCCGAGUGUGGUGAAGGAGAUCUUCAUUGGACUCACCCUGGGGCUGAUUGCUGGCGGCAUGUGGAAGAUGCACCACUGGAACGAGCAGAGGAAGACUAGAUCCUUCUACGACAUGCUGGACAAGGGCCAGAUCAGCGUCGUUGUCGAGGAGUAGUUUCCAUGCGUCAAGUCUGAAGUUAUUUUCACCCAGUUGUUUCUGAAACUCUCUGGAGAGCAUGACGAAGUGAAUGCUGUGGAGAUUUGUCUUGAAAAAUAAGCAUAACCAUUUGAGAACACCAGAUUUUGUUUGAAUUUCCUCCAUCAUGAAUAUUUGAACAUGUCCAUGUCAUACCAAACAUCUGAUCUAGUUUUACAUAAGUUUAUGUGAUCUUUGCGAGUAAUUGUGCUCGAGUUUGCCCUUUAAUGUGAA